rnacentral:tRNA from 1 species
GCGGGGUUAGCUCAGUGGUUAGAGCGCCGGCCUGUCACGCCGGAGGCCGCGGGUUCAAGUCCCGUACUCCGCGCCA